UGGCGGCACGCCUUACACAUGCAAGUCGAACGGCAGCACGGACUUCGGUGUGGUGGCGAGCGGCGAACGGGUGAGUAAUACAUCGGAACGUGUCCUGUAGUGGGGGAUAGCCCGGCGAAAGCCGGAUUAAURCCGCAUACGCUCUGCGGAGGAAAGGGGGGGAUCUUAGGACCUCUCGCUGCAGGGGCGGCCGAUGGCAGAUUAGCUAGUUGGUGGGGUAAAGGCCUACCAAGGCGACGAUCUGUAGCUGGUCUGAGAGGACGACCAGCCACACUGGGACUGAGACACGGCCCAGACUCCUACGGGAGGCAGCAGUGGGGAAUUUUGGACAAUGGGGGCAACCCUGAUCCAGCAAUGCCGCGUGUGUGAAGAAGGCCUUCGGGUUGUAAAGCACUUUUGUCCGGAAAGAAAACCACCUGGCUAAUAUCCGGGUGGGAUGACGGUACCGGAAGAAUAAGCACCGGCUAACUACGUGCCAGCAGCCGCGGUAAUACG
rnacentral:rRNA from 1 species